AUGCAGAGAAGGAAGGAAGGAAGGCAAUUGCAGUCAUCAGCACUUUCUCGGCUUGAGAAGCUUCCCAGACCAUGGCGGAGAAGACUAACCCAGCAGCGCGCGCAAAAGAAGGAGAGUCCCUCAAGGACAAAACUCUGGAGAUAUAGCCUGAGCCCCAUUUACCCACAAAGCCCAUCAGACAACCUGACAGGCGUUCCAUGUCCCCUGUGUCACUUUGGGGUGGCAAAGAUAAACUGGCUCAACUGUUUGACAGCCAUUUCCAGCUUCUUGGAAGACAGAAUAUAUUUCCAGAGAUUACAGUGUCCUCUCCAUUUCAUGACAAAUGAACAACAGCUGAAAGACAAGAGUAGCAUUCAAAAAGGAAAAAAAAACUUGAUUGUAGAUACAUAAACAAGUGGGUUAGGUGUACUAAUAUAUUAUUUUGCACAAUGGAGAAACAUCACCAGUGUUCUAAAUGCAGCUUCGUCCACACUGAAUGAAUGUAUUGCUUUUUGUUUCUUUCAUAAAGAAAGUCACUACAGUAUCUGCUUAACACACCCAAGACAGGAGUGGGAGUAAUGUGGUUCUCCAGAUAUGGCUGUCCCAACCCUCCAGGCUGGCUCUACAUUGCCAAACAAUGCAAUUUGAACUGCAUUAUAUGGGUCUACAUGACUAUUUAAUGCAGUUCAAAAUGCAUUAUUUGACAGUGUAGAUAUAACCCCAGAUAUUCCUGAAAAUUAUACUCAUCUUUUUGAAGGGGGAAAGGAGAAUCUGAGAUUCUAGAAGACUCUGGGUAUAACAAUUUAUUCUUUAUAAAACUCUGAAUUAUAAGCUUCUAUGCUUCCCUGUACUGUUUAACAUUUUAAAAAACCCUGCCAUAUGGGAAACAGAAGUGGAUUUUUCCAGUCCCCUUGUGGUGGUUUUUGUUCCCUUUUUCGGGGUCUUGGGAUGUUUCCAGUAAUAAUAACAAUAAUAAUACUACUUUAUUUAUAUCCCGCACCUAUCUCCUCAAGGGGCCUCAGUAGACCAUUGGUGGUCCUGGGGUCUAAAAAAUGAGCAUUGACUUGCAGUUACUCACCAACGGAGGUCAUAACCCACUCUUCUUCUCAAUUAUUAGAAAUACCUUUUUACUAGUUGCUUCCUAUAUUUGUUACAAUUUUAAAAGGGCCCACAUCACCCAGGGAGUUUAAUACUGAAAAGCUAGGCUAAGAAUGAAAACUAGACAACAAGCAAGGUCCAAGGAAGCAGACCAGUGAUAUCUAGCUCCAGACCAGUCCUUCAACCUGACCUGUAAGGAACAAAUUCAGUUAGUCCUGGGUAGGAAAAGCAAAGUAUGUCUCAUUAGGAACAGAACAUCCUAUAUGGAAACUCAAAGCCUUGUGUACUUUCUUAUGGUUUUCCAGACCAUUAUAACACACAUCCAUUCCUUACUAGGCUUUAUCCACACAGCAGAAUUAUUGCUGUUUUGAUACCCCAUUAUCUGCCAUUGCACAAUGCUAUGGAACCCUGAGAAUUGUCCCUUCAAUGAGCUACAAAUCUGAGGAUUCCACAAGAGAUUACUGAGCUGCUGUGCAUUGUGGUUGGCAGGGUAGUAAUAAGUACGCUAUUACUCCAGUUUCUAAGGCUAUGUAAAGUUACUUUUUGAUUUCAACUCCCCAAAUCUACCACUCAGAAGGAAGGGGGGCAGGAGUGGCAAUGCAAAAUUCACACACACACACACACAAAAACCAUAUGUGUUUUGGCAUAUAUAUUCUUCUGAUAUAGCCCAAUUGAGGUGCUUAUAAAAACAACAAAAGUAAGUUAAUCCAUCCCCUAUUCUGCAUUCAUUCUGCAGGAACAGAGCAAUGUGGUGAUGGGUCUCUUCCAAACCCACUCUGGCAAAACAUUCCAGUUUAAAUAACAGAUUUAAAUUGCCAGAAUAUCCUAUCUAAACAUAAUACACUGUGACUGGACAAACGUAAUACUUCUACUAAGCAUAACAAAUAGAUGCGUGCGUGCAUGCAUUUCAAAAAUACUGCAGUAAGGAAAGACAUUUAAAUAUCAUUCUUUCAAAGGAACGUGUAAAACGUUAUACAUAAAUGAACACUGGAUACAUUCAUCUAAGAGAAUUAAGCACCUAAGGAUUAAUGAAACACAAUAGAAAAUAUUGACAAAAUGGUAUUAAACCCCACAUCAAUUAGCUCAUCUUACAAAAAGCAUAUCAAAACUAUGUUGGCAUAAAUGUGGUGAAACAGGAACCUUUUUACAUAUAUGGUGGGCCUGUGACAAGGUACUAAUUUUUUAUAGAAAAAUAAAAGUGUGAGAUGGAAGAAAUAUCUGGGCAAAAAACCCAGGUUUUUGACUCAGAAAAUGGAAGGUAAAGGUAGGAAUAAAGAAUGGGCACAUACUGUAAAAUAUAUGAUAGGAGCAACACAGCAACAUUUGCCCUGGGAUGGAAAGAGCAAAAUAAAUGGGAGAAAAUGCUAUACUGUAAUUAUUUAGCAGACUAUAUCCAGGAUCCUUAAACUUUUUAAACAGGGGGCUGGUCCACAAUCAUUCAGACUGUUGCGGGGCUGAAUUAUGAUUUGAAAAAAAAAAGGAACAAAUUCCUAUGCACACUGCACAUGUCUUACUUGUAGUGCAAAAAACAACAACAACAAAUGAAAACUAUAAUAUUUAAAAAUAAGCACAAAUUUAACCAACAUAACCAAGAAAAAUAAAUAUAUAAAUGCAUAUCCAAUGGGGAACUCAAAAUGGAAAGAUCUGAUAGCCAAAGGAAAAGGAAAAUACAAGGAAAUGAAUCAGACCAUCUCCAUGAUCAAACAAAUAAAAUAAAAGUUAAGAUAAAGUUAAGAUGGGGGUGGGGGGAAGGGACAAGUAUAAGUAGGAGAUUAGGGUCAGAAUUGGAAAAGGUAAGAAAACAGGCUAUACCAGAAUGGUAUGAGUAUCUAUGGGGAAAAAUGUAUUGUCUCUUUUCCUCAUUAUUUCUGUUAACAUGACUGUGAAUGAUACAAUCCUCUUAUACAACCUAAUAAAAAUGCAAAUGAAGAACUUUUGUCUGCUUUCGGCUUUUUGUCUACAAUUGGUAUUGGUUCUGCACAAGGCUGGUUUGUGCUAGUCUCUGAAUUCCAGCCUUAUUAUGAGUUUCCUUAUCUAUCCAGGGUGUCAGGGUGUAAAUACAGUAAUUACAACAUAACAUUACUGCGUAUUGAACUACUUUUUCUGUCAAAUUUGUUGCAUAACAUGAUGUUUUGGUGCUUAAUUUGUAAAAUCAUAACCUAAUUUGAUGUUUAAUAGGCUUUUCCUUAAUCCCUCCUUAUUAUCCAAGAUAUUCACUUAUCCAAGCUUCUGCCGGCCCAUUUAGUUUGGAUAAGUGAGACUCUGCUGUACAUAAAUAUCUAUUACAUAAUAUAUUUUAAGUAUCUAUAAAUAUAUGUGAAAUUGUAUGUAUAUAUAUAUAUAUAUAUAUAUAUAUAUAUAUAUAUAAAAUAUACAAUUUCACAUAUAUUUAUAGAUACUUAAAUAUAUUUAAGUAUAUAGUAGAGUCUCACUUAUCCAACAUAAACGGGCCGGCAGAACGUUGGAUAAACGAAUAUGUUGGAUAAUAAGGAGGGAUAGGUUAUGAUUUUACAACUUAAGCAUCAAAACAUCAUGUUAUACAACAAAUAUGACAGAAAAAGUAGUUCAAUAUGCAAUAAUGCUAUGUAGUAAUUACGAAUUUAGCACCAAAAUAUCACGGUGUAUUGAAAACAAUGACUACAAAAAUGCGUUGGAUAAUCCAGAAUGUUGGAUAAGCGAGUGUUGGAUAUGUGAGACUCUACUGUAUGUGUAUAUUAUAUAUAGUUUCACAUAUAUUUAUACAUAUACCGGUAUAUUAUAUACAUAUAGUUUCUCAUAUUUAUAGAUAAAUAUAUCAUACAAUAUAUAAUAUAAUAUGCAUAUAUAAUAUAGACAGCUUUCUCUCUCUCCCUAUCUAUCUAUAUAUUCAUUCUACGCCGAAUGAGAUAUAAAAUACCAAAAAGCCGCAUUUUACCUCAAACCGGAGCCGUGCUUCUGCUCCUGCCUCUCUCCGACGUUAAUUUCAAAUUUCUGCCUCAGUUCCAAACUGGCCAAUCACCUCGCGCGCGCGCUGCUCCCUUGCGCGCAACCUGAUUGGGCAGAACGAGGGAGCCAAGAGGGCGGGGUAAAGUAUUAAAAUAAGGACUCCGCCUCCUUCCGUUGGCAGUUUUUUUUAAAUACCAAAAGGCCACAUUUUACCCCUCCUAUGUGCCUUCUCACGAUUGCACGGGCUGUUGGGUAAUGUAGUUCUGACGCCAAGAAAGAGCCAGAGACAAGCCUUAAGAAUAAACGACAAAUCCCAGAAAGCAUAGCGCGGAGGGAGCUAAUAAGCAUACAGGAGGCAACGUGCUGCGUGGCCAAUCCUGAAGCAGAAAGGGAGGGAUAAGGGGAAAAAUGGAGAAGAGCGUUGCUAGUCCCAAGAGGAGAGGGCGAUUUGUUUACCACCAGAGCUUUCAGGGAUUCCCGUCGACUCCCUUAGAUUGAUUGCUGGAAUGAAUGAACCAUCCAAGGCUCAUGUUUAAUAUAUUUCAAUUGUACACUCAAGGUUUGUGUUUAUAAUAGUUAAAUAGCUGCUUUGAGUCCCCUUUGGGGAGAUAAAGCAGGGUAUAAAUAAACGUAAUAAUACUAAAAUAAAAUAAUACAAUAAUAAGUAUAUAUAUUAUAAUAUAUUAUUAUAAUACUAAGAAAAAGACCCCUUUCUGACAUUGUAUAUUUCUGCCACUUCUGUGUCUUUUCAUUUGUAUUUUGAUUCUGUAGCCCACUUGUUGAUGGAUGUACAGAAU
ensembl:lncRNA